rnacentral:rRNA from 1 species
AGAAUCAACGCUGGCGGCGUGCCUCAGACAUGCAAGUCGAACGAUUAAAGCUCUCUUCGGAGAGUGUAUAGAGUGGCGCACGGGUGAGUAACACGUAAGUAAUCUACCUUCGAGUGGGGAAUAACAGUCGGAAACGACUGCUAAUACCGCAUAAUGCAGCGGCAUCGCAAGAUGGCAGUUGUUAAAGGAUUUAUUCGCUUGAAGAGGAGCUUGCGGCAGAUUAGCUUGUUGGUAAGGUAACGGCUUACCAAGGCUACGAUCUGUAACCGGUCUAAGAGGACGGUCGGUCACACUGACACUGAAUAACGGGUCAGACUCCUACGGGAGGCAGCAGUCGGGAAUUUUGGGCAAUGGGCGAAAGCCUGACCCAGCAACGCCGCGUGAAGGAUGAAGUAUUUCGGUAUAGUAAACUUCGAAAAGAAAUAGGAAAGAAAUAAAAUGACGGUAACUAUUUAAUAAGGUCCGGACUAACUACGUGCCAGCAGCCGC